GACGAACGCUGGCGGCGUGCUUAACACAUGCAAGUCGAACGGAAAGGCCCUGCUUUUGUGGGGUGCUCGAGUGGCGAACGGGUGAGUAACACGUGAGUAACCUGCCCUUGACUUUGGGAUAACUUCAGGAAACUGGGGCUAAUACCGGAUAGGAGCUCCUGCUGCAUGGUGGGGGUUGGAAAGUUUCGGCGGUUGGGGAUGGACUCGCGGCUUAUCAGCUUGUUGGUGGGGUAGUGGCUUACCAAGGCUUUGACGGGUAGCCGGCCUGAGAGGGUGAUCGGCCACAUUGGGACUGAGGUACGGCCCAGACUCCUACGGGAGGCAGCAGUGGGGAAUAUUGCACAAUGGGCGGAAGCCUGAUGCAGCAACGCCGCGUGCGGGAUGACGGCCGACGGGUUGUAAACCGCUUUCGCCUGUGACGAAGCGUGAGUGACGGUAAUGGGUAAAGAAGCACCGGCUAACUACGUG
rnacentral:rRNA from 1 species